rnacentral:rRNA from 1 species
CCUACGGGUGGCUGCAGUCGAGAAUCAUUCACAAUGGGGGAAACCCUGAUGGUGCGACGCCGCGUGAGUGAAGAAGUAAUUCGUUAUGUAAAGCUCUAUCAGCAGGGAAGAAAAUGACGGUACCUGAGUCAGAAGCCCCGGCUCACUACGUGCCAGCAGCCGCGGUAUUACGUAGGGGGCAAGCGUUAUCCGGAUUUACUGGGUGUACAGGGAUCGUAGACGGCAGUGCAAGUAUGGAGUGAAAGGGGGGGGCUCAACCCCCGGACUGCUCUGGAAACUGUACGGCUGGAGUGCAGGAGAGGUAAGUGGAAGGCCUAGUGUAGCGGUGAAAUGCGUAGAUAUUAGGAGGAACACCAGUGGCGAAGGCGGCUUACUGGACUGUAACUGACGUUGAGGCUCGAAAGCGUGGGGAGCAAACAGGAUUAGAUACCCUUGUAGUC